GAUGAACGCUGGCGACGUGCCUAAUACAUGCAAGUAGAACGCUGAAGCUUGGUGCUUGCCCCGAGCGGAUGAGUUGCGAACGGGUGAGUAACGCGUAGGUAACCUGCCUCUUAGCGGGGGAUAACUAUUGGAAACGAUAGCUAAUACCGCAUAAAAGUCGAUAUCGCAUGAUAUUGAUUUGAAAGGUGCAAUUGCAUCACUAAGAGAUGGACCUGCGUUGUAUUAGCUAGUUGGUGAGGUAACGGCUCACCAAGGCGACGAUACAUAGCCGACCUGAGAGGGUGAUCGGCAACACUGGGACUGAGACACGGCCCAGACUCCUACGGGAGGCAGCAGUAGGGAAUCUUCGGCAAUGGGGGCAACCCUGACCGAGCAACGCCGCGUGAGUGAAGAAGGUUUUCGGAUCGUAAAGCUCUGUUGUAAGAGAAGAACGAGUGUGAGAGUGGAAAGUUCACACUGUGACGGUAACUUACCAGAAAGGGACGGCUAACUACGUG
rnacentral:rRNA from 1 species